GGGAAGGUGGCUCAGUGGUAGAGUGCUUGCCUUGCAUGCAUGAGGCCUUGGGUUUGAUUCCUCAGCAUCAUA
rfam:Dipodomys ordii contig_70370, whole genome shotgun sequence.